GGGAAAAAUGAAUAGUACAUGUCUUUUCUCCAGUGUACAGCAAACCACAGCUGAUAGCACACAAGGCAUGUCAACACAUGCGCAAUUAUGUGUGCGAACAUGUGUGUAUGUUCUAUAUAUCGAAUAUAAACACACAAAUAUAUUUAUAUACACAUACACAUAAUUAAUAGAAAUCAUACAGUGAGAUUUGAUACGAAUUCUCCACUUCCUGGCUUGCAUCGCACAGCGCUCAGGUUCUGGCACUGACAUGACACCCGGUCCGAACGUCGUCUGUUCAGGGCCACGGCCUUACCAAACCCCACAUUAUGACCACCUCAGCUUACAGCAGCCAUCGUCAAGCAGAGGGCGAGGUAUUCGGGGGCCCAGGUGUGUGCAGGACAGUGCUGAGGCCAGGAUUCCCAUUGCCUCCUUAAUAAUGCUCCCCCGUGUAGACCUUUAGGAGGAAACUGUCACGGGGGCCUGUCUGCCACAAACUCAAAGUCAAGCAAAACACUGGAUAGUAACACUUCAGUUGAACGGGCAACAAGUUCGUGACGUGUCAGAGACAAUGACACCACCAGGCAUAAACAAUUAACGGUUCGGAACAUUUUGCAAGCUGAAAAUAUUUGACAGGUUUAUUAAUACUAAAUGCAUGUCAGAUACCUUACGCAUACCCCUUCAAACAAAGUGUUACAUGCUGAACACGCACGCACGCACACACACACACCCACAUCUAACCAACGUUUGCUAUGGAUCAGGGUCACUGCACAGACUACAGCAAACCUCCCAUUACCUGACAACACUGUCCUGGCACAAACUAAAUCCCCCCUGCACUGAUGAUAACCAUGAUCCUAUUAUUAAAUGCCCCAGAAGUGACCAAACACAAAGGGCUGUGUAUCCCUGGCUGCAAGAAGUGCUGAUAUGAGGGUGUUUGGUGCAUGGGAGUAGAGAGGCCGGUGUGGUUUAGUAGAGCCGUACGGGUUCACUCCCAGGUGACUAACCUCAGCUCUACAUGCCCGGACCAAACACACACAGUGGACCUCUAUGGCAACAGUUCAACAGGGGGAACCAAAGAGCUUCAAAAUCGUUCCUUAACAAAUCAUAUUGGCAGUAUCAUUGUUUUAAAAAAAAAAAAAAAAAAAAAAAAAAAAAAAUGAAAGAUUUGUUGUCCUUUAAAAGCAAACCUAAACAAACAAAUAAGACUGCAGUGAGUGGUGAUAGCAGACCACUUGUGAAGCAGGACCAGGGGAGAAGUACACUGCUCAUACCAUCUCUCUAAAAUAGGUCAUUGGCCGGCUCAAGGAGAAAGGAGGAAAAGCAUCGCAAAACAAAUGGAAACAAAGUGAAGAUAGAAGUCACCAGUUCUGUCCAUUGAAUUAAUUGCUAACGGUUGCCUACCAACAAUCAUCCUUGGGGUUUCUCCCCCCCACCCCAUCAUGUCAAAAAAUAAGCCAGAAGUUCAUGAGGAGUUUGGCAUGAGCUACGGUAAACAAGUGUCGGUAGAGUCAAAAUAAAAAUGUACAAAGUUUGUGAACCCCCUCGCCCUAUCCAGCUUUCAGUUACACACCGGGUCCCUUCAAUCGACUCCAGCCCCCACCCCCCC
ensembl:lncRNA